AAAAGAAAAGGGGUGAAAAGAACAAAGUUUUGUCCAUCUUUGUUCAUCAUAGCUGAAAGUUAGAGAAGAGAAAGAGAGGAGAAAGCUCUUGAGUAUUUGGUCAUUAGGAGGAGGAAAAUUGAAGGCGGUUCGUGUGUGGAUCUCGUCAGCAUAUCGUCGCAAACAGGGCUUUAAUGCUGGUGUCGUUUGUUUCUAAUGAAACUAGACUCAAAAUUGAUUCUGUACAUAUAAGGUAUGUCUCCUAAUUCUUUUUAGAUAAUUUAUAGUGAAUUUUUAAAGUUGCGACAGGGAACC